rnacentral:lncRNA from 1 species
AGCACCUCGUGCUGAUGCGUAAAAGGUCUCUCAUUGACGGUGUGGUAGGGGUUGAGCGCGCGCGCCAUGAUGUCGUCCAUGUCGAGGCGCACGCCUCUCGCGCGGCACUCGGCGAGAGCCCACUCGGCGACGGGCACGCGCCACGCGCGGACGGCUUGGCCGCACACACGGACCAGCCGGGACGCGUCCAUAUGAGACGCGAGCGCCCCGAGCACAGCAACGUGGCCCUCGAGGACGGCGUCCGAGACGCAUUCCUUGAAAUACAACCGGCGAGCACGAUCCAACGAGGCCUCUAACGAAAGCGACGGCUCCGACGGGUCGUGUGCGUGCGACAGUCCUGACGAGUCAUGCGUGGAAUCGGCACCGGCGGGGCUACGGGCGAGAGCCACGAGACGUGCGACGACCUGCCAACUGCCGCCGUAGGCGCUCCACGUCCAGAGUUUCUUGCAAAAGUGGUCGAGCCAGGCCACGGCGCGGGUCGGGGUUUGCGACCACUCGGCGGCGACGCGGCGUGCCGUCCACUCGACCGCGUCUGGGUGGUCGCCGGCGACGAGGUCGACCGCAAAACCCGUCACCCAGUCGAGCGACGGGUGUAGCGCCGCGGCCACGAGUGUGACGGUCGGGAUGUCGCCCGUGUCCACGGCCAUCACAAACAGGCGCCGCGCCAGGUCGGCGCGCGAGGGACACCGCGAGAGACAGCAUGAGCCCCACGACGACGGACUCUUGUGCACGUAGGCGCACGCGUCGACGACCGACUCGACGGCGUGGCGCACCAGCGGCGAGCGCGCCGUGGCGACCAGCACGCCGGCCGCGUAGCGUAGCGACGACCCAGGUAUGCUGGCACACCACGUGACCAGACCGGCGGGGUCGUCGUCCCAGCGGCCUUGGCGCGCCCACUGAACCACGGCCGACGCGCACACGUAGACGCCGCGGCGCCACUUGACGAGCGCACGGGGACGCGCGGCGGGGUCCCACCGGCAGAGGGCAUCCAGGCGGCGCUCCUCGGCGGGGCUCGCGGCACGGCGCAUCUCGCGGCCGGCGGCAUCAAAGAGCGCGCGCCAUCUCUGGCACACGGCGCGCGCGCAAAAGCGCCACCGCGGCGCCAGGUAGGACUCGUCCGUGAGGAUGACGGCGAGCAACUCUGUCGGCAGAUCGUCGAUGGUAGUCGCCGAAGCAUAGGCGGGCAGCGACUCCUCGUGCGUCGUCGCCAUCACCAACUCCAUGGCGUCGCCCAUCGCACGCCGCUCGAUCCAGCCCCACGACCACAUACAGCGGAAUGCAAGAGAAUAAUUCUUUCGGCGGCCUCACGGAUGGAAUGAGAGGAGCCAAAACAAGGAGGCCCGGUGCAAUAGGCGGCCCAAAGGCGGCGUCCGGCGUCGGCGGGACCGCGCACAGGGAAAAAAUUCACCGCACCCAUUUGACGACCCGAAAAAAAAAAAGAAACCAAUCGGAAAAAGCACGCGCUCUUUCUUUUCUGUCUUGUUGCGCAAAUUUGCGCCGUGACAUGGACGCGCCAUUGGUCUACCUUUUUGUUCGGUCCAUAUGGCGCACCAAAAAACAGAGACAAGGCAUUCCAACC